UGACCUCAGAUCAGGCAAGAC
rnacentral:rRNA from 1 species